rnacentral:rRNA from 1 species
GACGAACGCUGGCGGCGUGCUUAACACAUGCAAGUCGAACGGAGUGGCGAACGGGUGAGUAACACGUGGGUGACCUGCCCUGCACUUCGGGAUAAGCCUGGGAAACUGGGUCUAAUACCGGAUAGUGUGGGAUGGGCCCGCGGCCUAUCAGCUUGUUGGUGGGGUAAUGGCCUACCAAGGCGGCGACGGGUAGCCGGCCUGAGGGGGUGGACGGCCAAAUGUGGACCGAGACACAGGCCAGGAUCCUAAGGGAAGCAGGCGGGGGGAAUAUUGCCCAAUGGGGGGAAGGCUUGUGGCGGGACGGCGCGGGGGGGAUGACGGCCUUCGGGUUGUAAACUCCUUUCACCAUCGACGCGGUAGAUGGAGAAGAAGCACCGGCUAACUACGUGCCAGCCGCCGCGGUAAUUC